UACGGGGGGGGCAAGCGUUGUUCGGAAUUACUGGGCGUAAAGGGCUCGUAGGUGGCCAACUAAGUCAGACGUGAAAUCCCUCGGCUUAACCGGGGAACUGCGUCUGAUACUGGAUGGCUUGAGUUCGGGAGAGGGAUGCGGAAUUCCAGGUGUAGCGGUGAAAUGCGUAGAUAUCUGGAGGAACACCGGUGGCGAAGGCGACACGCUGGACCUCUUCUGACGCUGAGGCGCGAAAGCCAGGGGAGCAAACGGGG
rnacentral:rRNA from 1 species